UACGUAGGGUGCGAGCGUUAAUCGGAAUUACUGGGCGUAAAGCGUGCGCAGGCGGUUCGGAAAGAAAGAUGUGAAAUCCCAGAGCUUAACUUUGGAACUGCAUUUUUAACUCCCGGGCUAGAGUGUGUCAGAGGGGGGUAGGAAUUCCACGUGUAGCAGUGAAAUGCGUAGAGAUGUGGAGGAAUACCGAUGGCGAAGGCAGCCCCCUGGGACAACACGUGACGCUCAGGCACGAAAGCGUGGG
rnacentral:rRNA from 1 species